GAUGAACGCUGGCGGCGUGCCUAACACAUGCAAGUCGAGCGAUCUUCUUCGGAAGAGAGCGGCGGACGGGUGAGUAACGCGUGGGUAACCUGCCCUGUACACACGGAUAACAUACCGAAAGGUAUGCUAAUACGAGAUAAUAUGCUUUUGUCGCAUGGUAGAAGUAUCAAAGCUCCGGCGGUACAGGAUGGACCCGCGUCUGAUUAGCUAGUUGGUAAGGUAACGGCUUACCAAGGCGACGAUCAGUAGCCGACCUGAGAGGGUGAUCGGCCACAUUGGAACUGAGACACGGUCCAAACUCCUACGGGAGGCAGCAGUGGGAAUAUUGCACAAUGGGCGAAAGCCUGAUGCAGCAACGCCGCGUGAGCGAUGAAGGCCUCGGUCGUAAAGACUCUGUCCUCAAGGAAGAUAAUGACGGUACUUGAGGAGGAAGACCCGGCGUAAC
rnacentral:rRNA from 1 species